rnacentral:tRNA from 1 species
GGAAGCGUGCCUGAACCAAAGGACUACUUUGAUAGAGUAGAUAAUGGGAGUUAAAGCCUCUCCACUUCCU